rnacentral:tRNA from 1 species
GGGGAUAGCUCAGUGGUAGAGUGCCUGCCUAGCAUGCACAAGGUCCUGGGUUCAAUCCCCAGUAUCUCCA